CAGUUACUGAAAUAACUGUUCCUCUACUCAGAGGGCAGAUAGACUAUGAUGACUGGCACUCACCUCAUUUGUGAUUCACAUCUCGAGAGAUUAGGAUUCACAACAUAUUAAUGACUCCUAUAAUAU
rnacentral:snoRNA from 1 species